rnacentral:rRNA from 1 species
AGAGCGAACGCUGGCGGCAGGCCUAACGCAUGCAAGUCGAACGGACCCUUCGGGGUUAGUGGCGGACGGGUGAGUAACACGUGGGAACGUGCCUUUAGGUUCGGAAUAGCUCCUGGAAACGGGUGGUAAUGCCGAAUGUGCCCUUCGGGGGAAAGAUUUAUCGCCUUUAGAGCGGCCCGCGUCUGAUUAGCUUAUGGUGAGGUAAUGGCUCACCAAGGCUACGAUCAGUAGCUGGUCUGAGAGGAUGACCAGCCACAUUGGGACUGAGACACGGCCCAAACUCCUACGGGAGGCAGCAGUGGGAAUCUUGCGCAAUGGGCAAAGCCUGACGCAGCCAUGCCGCGUGUAUGAUGAAGGUCAUAGGAUUGUAAAAAUACUUUCACCGGUGAAGAUAAUGACUGUAGCCGGAGAAGAAGCCCGGCUAACUUCGUGCCAGCAGCCGC